CAACUUGAGGAACAAAUCCCAGGCUGGAUGGCUCCAGGGGGCUCAAGUUGCCAGAAAGGAACACGGCAUAGUGGAAACUAUGGAUGGUAAGAGAGGUUGCACAGCCGUGCUGGAUGCCAAAGAGUUGUGUGCUGUGCAACGGGGAACCAAGGUCACGGAUGAGAGGAGACCCCUCAAGAGAGGGUCCACUUUAAAAAGGAACUCCACUGAUCGAUGUUUUCACUUCCGUAAGGCUCCCAUGUGUCUGAGGAGAUGUUCAGCUUGAAUGGACAGGAGGGGAGGGCAAGAAAGAGCAGCUAGAAGAGGUUCCAGAGAAAGAUUGGGGAAAUGUGUGAAGCAGAGAUAUGAAGAGGAACACGUCACACACUACAAGCUGAAAUCCAAAGGGGGCGGUGAGGAGAGAAGAAAAAGAGAGAGAGAGAUACAUUGAAGCCUCAUCACAGGAUUGCCCUCUGGAGUCCAGAAGUAAGGAGCUGAAGGUCCAGCUAGCCUCCAUCAUGGGUGUUCUCCCAGUUCUCCUCUUCUUCCUCCUCCUGCUCAACUGUGGUUGUCAGAAGGACUUUCUGAAUCAGCUUCAGAGGUGGAACUACAGAGAAGGAGCAGACAAAGUCAACAUCCACGGCAUUAACAGUGUCACUCGUAUGCUGGAGAAAUGGGGGAACAGCAUCUUCUGGCAAAUGAAACACUCCUUACUGAGUCACCCUAACAGUCUGCUGCCCGAGUUCUCCAGCCUCCAUCCCGUCUCCGAGGCACUUGAUGACCUUCUGAAGGAAGUACGGUCAAUGAAGAAGAGGCUGGAAGAGCUGAACGAACGACUCAGUGUUAUGAGCAGGGCCUUCUUUCCUACCCGAUUCAAUGCCCUGAGGCGCCAGAGGCUCAGCAGUAUGCAGCUGAGAAGACUCCCUUUUCAGAGGAGGAGGAUGUAUAUCCGCAGGAGAGUUCAGCGGAAUUAGCUCUUUUCCAAAAAAACAACAACAAACAUUUCUAUCUUUCUCUUUUCUGCAAGUCUUUAUCAAUGAGAGACUAUUAGACUGAAUAAAGUAACACAUGUAUGAGUGAGGGUCUGGAUGCCUGAGGAGACUGGCAAUUAUGGGUUAUGGAGCUGCCUUGCAAAUCUAGGUCAUUGGGUCAAAUCCCGUGCAGCUCUGUGAUGAUGGCUGUGUGGUGACCCAUGUGUGAUGAGUUGUUGAUCUCAAUCCAGUUAAGCGUUUGUAUAUUUCCCCUAUACAGUCGUCCCCACAUUUCCUUUGGAUUGCCAACUAUAUCCCUUCUAUACAGAUCAGAUGCCUUUUUCUCUUUAUCCGACUUCACAGAGAACUAUUGACUCAGGGGUUGGGGGAUCACGUAUACAGAUGGAUACUUAGGCCAAAAUUUUCAAAUGUUAGGCACCUAACUUCACAUUUAGGUACCAAAAUAAAAGUGAUUUGAUUUUCAAUGUGCUAAGCAUUUGACUUCAGGGAGAAUUGUGCUUGCUUAGCUCCACUGAAAACAAACCAGACCACUUUUAUUUAGAUGCAAAACAUUAAGCAGCUACAUUUUAAAAUUUUGGCCUCAAUCUAUAAACUGUACAUAUAAAGCAUGUUCUGUUGAUAAGCAGGUGUUUUUAAAGAGUGUGAGGGAGGAGGGCCUUCACAAGGCAUUGGAUAACAGGGAACAGUGCCUACAUUAUCAAACAUUGCUAGUGGUUUAGGAUGCCUCAGUUUUGGGGGGCCCACUUUAAGACACUGUAUGGGGCUUGUUUUUUGAUAAAGUGCAGAGCACCCACCUUCUGAAAAUCAGGUCCCUUUUAGGCAUCUAUUUAGGGGUGCAAAAAUCACUAAUCACUUUUGCAAUGUAGGCCCUGAUCUUGACAGCAGUCUUUAAAACACUGCACUGCCAACCAAGCCACUUGGGCCCAGAUCCUCAAAUGUAUGUAGGCACCUCACUCACACUGAUUUCAGUGGGAUUUAGGCUCCUAAAUACAGUUGAGGAUCUGGGCCUUGGAGACCAGGAGCCAGAUUUUCAGAAGCAUUUAGGCUCCUAAAGAUGCAGAUAGGUGCCUAGUUGGAUUCUCAGAAGUGCCUCCGUAGGUUAGGUGCCGAACUCACCACGUUCCAGUCUGUCCCCAGAUGAUUAACCAAGGAAUUCUGAGAGGAGCUUUCCUGGUUCAGUUCUAGCACAGAUCUAUCACUCAGUGAGCAUAUGAUACAUACUCUUGUAACCACUAUAUUCAGUUUUGUUUGAUUUAAAUGUGAAUUUCUGGACCAGUCAGAUAGUUAGCAUGCUUAGCUCUUAUGAGAGAGACGCUGGUUUGAUUCAGGAGAAAAUGGAAGAUUUUCUUUCCAGUAAACCUCUGUGAAGUACUUCUCCUCUUAAGGCCUUACAUCUCAGGAGUUUCCUUGACUCACAGGACUUCCCUUUUGAAGUUCAUCAGUGAAACUCCAUUUGAAUAGCAGAAGGAAGUUGUAGGAAAAUGAUGCACGCUCUCCUUCCCUUGUCACCCUCCCUGCAGUGUUUCUGCUCUUGCUAGCUUUGGGAAGAAAGUGAUCCCUGGUCUACACUAGGAGUUGAGGUCGAAUUUAGCAGUGUUAAAUCGAUUUAACCCUGCACCCGUCCACACGAUGAAGCCCUUUUUUCUGACUUAAAGGGCUCUUAAAAUCGAUUUAUUUACUCCACCCCCGACAAGGGGAUUAGCGCUUAAAUCGGCCUUGCCGGGUCAAAUUUGGGGUACUGUGGACGCAAUUAGAUGGUAUUGGCCUCCGGGAGCUAUCCCAGAGUGCUCUAUUGUGACCGCUCUGGACAGCACUCUCAACUCAGAUGCACUGGCCAGGAAAACAGGAAAAGGCCCACAAACUUUUGAAUUUCAAUUUCCUGUUUGCAUGGUCACCUGCAGCUUGCCACACUGGCCAGAACUGAUCAGCAGAGGUGACCAUGAUGGAGUCCCAGAAUCGCAAAAGAGCUCCAGCAUGGACUGAACGGGAGGUACGGGAUCUGAUCGCUGUAUGGGGAGAGGAAUCCGUGCUAUCAGAACUCCGUUCCAGUUUUCGAAAUGCCAAAACCUUUGUCAAAAUCUCCCAGGGCAUGAAGGACAGAGGCCAUAACAGGGACCCAAAGCAGUGCCGCGUGAAACUUAAGGAGCUGAGGCAAGCCUACCAGAAAACCAGAGAGGCAAAUGGCUGCUCCGGGUCAGAGCCCCAAACAUGCCACUUCUAUGAUGAGCUGCAUGCCAUUUUAGGGGGUUCAGCCACCACUACCCCAGCUGUGUUGUUUGACUCCUUCAAUGGAGAUGGAGGCAACACGGAAGCAGGUUUUGGGGACGAAAAAGAAGAAGAUGAUGAAGUUGUAGAUAGCUCACAGCAAGCUAGCGGAGAAACCGGUUUUCCCGACAGCCAGGAACUGUUUCUCACCCUGGACCUGGAACCAGUACCCCCCGAACCCACCCAAGGCUGCCUCCCGGACCCACCAGGCGGAGAAGGGACCUCCACUGCAUGUGUUUCAAGGAUCACAGGAUCUUCUCCUUCCCAGAGGCUAAUGAAGAUUACAAGGUGAAAAAAAUGCACUUGUGAUGAAAUGUUCUCCGAGCUCAUGCUGUCCUCCCACACUGACAGAGCACAGACGAAUGCGUGGAGGCAGACAAUGUCAGAGUGCAGGAAAGCACAAAAUGACCGGGAGGAGAGGUGGCGGACUGAAGAGAGUAAGUGGCGGGCUGAAGAGAGGGCUGAAGCUGAAAGGUGGCGGCAGCAUGAUGAGAGGAGGCAGGAUUCAAUGCUGAGGCUGCUGGAGGAUCAAACCAAUACGCUGCAGCGUAUGGUUGAGCUGCAGCAAAGGCAGCAGGAGCACAGACUGCCACUACAGCCCCUGUGUAACCAACCGCCCUCCUCCCCAAGUUCCAUAGCCUCCUCACCCAGAUGCCCAAGAACAUGGUGGGGGGAGCCUCCGGCCACCCAGCAACUCCACCCCAGAGGAUUGCCCAAGCAACAAAAGACUGGCGUUCAAUAAGUUUUAAAGUUUUAAACUUUUAAAGUGCUGUGUGGCCUUGUCCUUCCCUCCUCCACCACCCCUCCCUGUGCUUCUCUCCUCCACCACCCCUCCCAGGCUACCUUGGCAGUUAUCCCCCUAUUUGUGUGAAGAAUUAAUAAAGAAUGCAUGAAUGUGAAGCAACAAUGACUUUAUUGCCUCUGCAAGUGGUGAUUGAAGGGAGGAGGGGAGGGUGGUUAGCUUACAGGGAAGUAGAGUGAACCAAGGGGCGGGGGAGUUUCAUCAAGGAGAAACAAACAGAAUUUUCACACUGUAACCUGGCCAGUCAUGAAACUGGUUUUCAAAGCUUCUCUGAUGCGCACUGCACCCUCCUGUGCUCUUCUAACCGCCCUGGUGUCGGGCUGCGCGUAACCAGCAGCCAGGCGAUUUGCCUCAACCUCCCACCCUGCCAUAAACGUCUCCCCCUUACUCUCACA